GACGAACGCUCUCUACAGGCUUAACACAUGCAAGUCGAGGGGCAGCAGGAUCUAGCAAUAGAUUGCUGGCGACCGGCGCACGGGUGAGUAACACGUAUCCAACCUGCCGAUAACUCGGGGAUAGCCUUUCGAAAGAAAGAUUAAUACCCGAUGGUAUAAUCAGACCGCAUGGUCUUGUUAUUAAAGAAUUUCGGUUAUCGAUGGGGAUGCGUUCCAUUAGGCAGUUGGUGAGGUAACGGCUCACCAAACCUUCGAUGGAUAGGGGUUCUGAGAGGAAGGUCCCCCACAUUGGAACUGAGACACGGUCCAAACUCCUACGGGAGGCAGCAGUGAGGAAUAUUGGUCAAUGGGCGCAGGCCUGAACCAGCCAAGUAGCGUGAAGGAUGACUGCCCUAUGGGUUGUAAACUUCUUUUAUAUGGGAAUAAAGUUUUCCACGUGUGGAAUUUUGUAUGUACCAUAUGAAUAAGGAUCGGCUAACUCCGUGCCAGCAGCCGCGGUAAUACGGAGGAUCCGAGCGUUAUCCGGAUUUAUUGGGUUUAAAGGGAGCGUAGGUGGACAGUUAAGUCAGUUGUGAAAGUUUGCGGCUCAACCGUAAAAUUGCAGUUGAUACUGGCUGUCUUGAGUACAGUAGAGGUGGGCGGAAUUCGUGGUGUAGCGGUGAAAUGCUUAGAUAUCACGAAGAACUCCGAUUGCGAAGGCAGCUCACUGGACUGCAACUGACACUGAUGCUCGAAAGUGUGGGUAUCAAACAGG
rnacentral:rRNA from 1 species